rnacentral:lncRNA from 1 species
GGAGAAGAAAGGAAGAAAAAGGAGAAGGAAAAGGGAGAAGAAAAGAAGAAAAAGGGAAGGAGAAGAAAAGAAGAAAAAUGAGAAGAAAAGAAGAAAAAGGAGAAGAAAGGAAGAAAAAGGAGAAGAAAGGAAGAAAAAGGGAAGAAAGGAAGAAAAAGGAGAAGAAAGGAAAAAAGGAGAAGAAAGGAAGAAAAAGGAGAAGAAAAGAAGAAAAA